CCUACGGGUGGCAGCAGUGGGGGAGAUUGCACAAUGGGGGAAACCCUGAUGCAGCGACGCCGCGUGGGCGAAGAAGGAGUUCGGGAGGGAAAGCCCUAUCAGCAGGGAAGAAGAAAGGACGGUACCGGAGGAAGAAGCACCGGCUAAAUACGUGCCAGCAGCCGCGGUAAUACGGAUGGGGCAAGCGUUAUCCGGAUUUACUGGGUGUAAAGGGAGCGCAGGCGGCACGGCAAGCCUGAUGUGCAAGCCCGCGGCCCAACCGCGGGACUGCAUUGGGAACUCCCGGGCUGGAGUGCCGGAGCGGUAGGCGGAAUUCCUAGUGUCGCGGUGACCUGCGUAGAUCUUCGGAG
rnacentral:rRNA from 1 species